AACUGAUACUACCUGCGGGAACCUGCGGAAGGAUCAUUAUCAAUUUACAGCGGACUUCGGUCCUGUCUGCACCCUUGUCUUUUGCGUACUAUAUGUUUCCUCGGUGGGCUUGCCUGCCGAUAGGACACUUAUAAACUCUUUUGUAAUUGCAAUCAGCGUCAGAAAACUAUAAUAGUUACAACUUUUAACAAUGGAUCUCU
rnacentral:misc_RNA from 1 species